rfam:Canis lupus familiaris chromosome 19, whole genome shotgun sequence.
GGAUGUGAAGGUGAUCUGGCUGGGACAUCUGUCACUACACUGAUCGCCAGGGUCGACUCAGCUGAUCUGGCUGGCUAGGCGGGUGUCCCCUUCCUCCCUCACCGCUCCAUGUGCAUCCCUCCCGAAGCUGCGUGCUCAAUCGAAGAGGAUGGCCUUCCCCGAUAGAGGAGGACUGCUCUUGGGUCAAGGGUAUACGAGUAGCUGUGCUCCCCUGCUGGAACCUCUGAACAAGCUCUUGAAGUCCAUUUGUAGGAGAAAGUAGGGUGAUCAGACUUCCAAGACCCCAGACACGUCCAAAUGAGGCACUGCAUGUGGCAGUGUGCCUUUAAAA